UACGAAGGGGGCUAGCGUUGCUCGGAAUCACUGGGCGUAAAGGGUGCGUAGGCGGGUCUUUAAGUCAGGGGUGAAAUCCUGGAGCCCAACUCCAGAACUGCCUUUGAUACUGACGGUCUUGAGUUCGGGAGAGGUGAGUGGAACUGCGAGUGUAGAGGUGAAAUUCGUAGAUAUUCGCAAGAACACCAGUGGCGAAGGCGGCUCACUGGCCCGAUACUGACGCUGAGGUGCGAAAGCGUGGGGAGCAAACAGG
rnacentral:rRNA from 1 species